rnacentral:rRNA from 1 species
GAUCCUUAGUGGGCGGGCUUACACAUGCAUUAGAGGGUAACAUGGUGUUUGGCCGUUGACGACCGGCGCACGGGUGAGUUACGCGUAUGCAAUCUGCCUUUCACUGGGGCAUAGCCCGGGGAAACCCGGAUUAAUAUCCCAUAGUAUAUAGAUGUGGCAUCACAUUUAUAUUAAAGCCUUGGCGGUGAAAGAUGAGCAUGCGUCCUAUUAGCUGGAUGGUAAGGUAACGGCUUACCAUGGCUAUGAUAGGUAGGGGUCCUGAGAGGGAGAUCCCCCACACUGGUACUGAGACACGGACCAGACUCCUACGGGAGGCAGCAGUGAGGAAUAUUGGACAAUGGGCGAGAGCCUGAUCCAGCCAUGCCGCGUGCAGGAAGACGGCCCUAUGGGUUGUAAACUGCUUUUACAGAGGAAGAAACCUCCCCUCGUGAGGGGAAUUGACGGUACUCUGCGAAUAAGGAUCGGCUAACUCCGUGCCAGCAGCCGCGGUAAUACGGAGGAUCCAAGCGUUAUCCGGAAUCAUUGGGUUUAAAGGGUCCGUAGGCGGGAGAAUCAGUCAGUGGUGAAAGUCUGUGGCUCAACCAUAGAAUUGCCAUUGAAACUGUUUUCCUUGAGUCAUUAUGAAGUGGUUAGAACAUGUAGUGUAGCGGUGAAAUGCAUAGAUAUUACAUAGAAUACCGAUUGCGAAGGCAGAUCACUAAUAAUGUACUGACGCUGAGGGGCGAAAGCGUAGGUAGCGAACAGGAUUAGAUACCCUGGUAGUCUACGCCGUAAACGAUGGUUACUAGCUGUUCGGGCCUAAUUGAGGGCUGAGUGGCUAAGCGAAAGUGAUAGUAACCCACCUGGGGAGUACGUUCGCAAGAAUGAAACUCAAUGUAUAGGGAGGG